AACGAACGCUGGCGGCAGGCCUAACACAUGCAAGUCGAACGUGAAGCCACCUUCGGGUGGUGGAAAGUGGAAGAAGGGUGAGUAACGCGUGGGAACGUGCCUUUCGGAUCGGAAUAACCCAGGGCAACUUGGGCUAAUACCGGAUACGCCCUUCGGGGGAAAGAUUCAUCGCCGAAAGAUCGGCGCGCGUCGGAUUAGCUAGUUGGUAGGGUAAUGGCCUACCAAGGCGAGGAUCCGUGGCUGGUCUGAGGGGAUGACCAGCCACACUGGGACUGAGACACGGCCCAGAAUCCUACGGGAGGCAGCAGUGGGGAAUAUUGGACAAUGGGCGAAAGCCUGAUCCUUCCAGGCCGGUUGGGUGGAGAAGGCCCUAGGGUUGUAAACCCCUUUCAGCGGGGAAGAUAAUGACGGUACCCGCAGAAGAAGCCCCGGCUAACUCCGUGCCAGCAGCCGCUGUAAAAC
rnacentral:rRNA from 1 species